UGAAGGUAAAAAUUGUGAAAAAUCACGUAAUGGACAAUGGCAGAGCAAGUCUUAUCACAGUUAACGAACACUAUGAGUACCUAAUGAGUUUUUGCAGUAAAUAAUUUUGCCAAAGUUGUGAUCCCGCGAAAGUUCUGUUUGUAAAUUGUAAGGAAUCGUCAAAAUAUUGGUGCAGACAUGGUUUGUGACCGGUGCUUUUCUCUUGAAAAAACACAACUGAAAGCCUUGAUCUUCAUCCCUACAAUAGAUAUCUGAAACAUGCCAGAUCUGCAUAACAGGAAUGUCAAAGAGGUUCUACCCAAAACACGCCCACAUGGCCAUCCUAAUAUCAAGAUUUUUCAAAAUUUCUAUAACAAAAAAGAUGAAAAAACCAAUAAAAUUUCAGGAGCAUAGUGUUAAGAGUUCUGUAGAUGAUUAUGAGAUCUCUUGAAACAACAGAAUGUUUAAUAAAGAUUUUUAACUUUCCUAAUAGUAAAAUUACAAUUAUUACUAAACAGUAAGUUGAAGUAAGUUUUAAAUUAAGAAAAUGCAACUAACACCGAAAGAAAAAUGAAAGUUACUGAAAAUAAAAAACUUUAUUGCAGUACCUACAUACACUUUCUACAUCUAAUUUUGUUUAUUGAUCACAUUCAUUUACUUGAAAAAGUAUCAGGCCUAUGAAUCGUCGUCUGGAAACAGCUAACCACACACCAACCUUCAUUGCGUGUGAUGGUGUUUCUUCAAAAGCGUGAGUAUUUUCUAUACACCAAAUUCUGAAGUUCUGUCAGUUGACAUAAUAGCCUAACAGAUGAAACCAGGCUUCAUCAGAAAAGAACGACAAAUCGAGAAUCCCGUUAUCGUCCAUAUCAGCUUGAAACCAACUACAAUACCCAACGCGGCAAGGAAAAUCAGCUGGUUGCAGCUCCUGAACCAACAAAAUCUUGUAUGGAUGCAUAUGUAACUUCUCUUUUACGAUUUUCUGACAUGGGCUGUAUGGUACUCCGGACAGUAAAGAUUUUUGACAAA